ensembl:snRNA U6 U6 spliceosomal RNA
CUGCUCACUUAGGCAGCACAUAUGCUAAAAUUGGAACUAUACAGAGAAGAUUAGCAUGGUCCCUGCACAAGGAUGACAUGCAAAUUCAUGAAGCAUUCCAUAUUUUU